rnacentral:rRNA from 1 species
AUUGAACGCUAGCGGGAUGCUUUACACAUGCAAGUCGAACGGCAGCGCGGACUUCGGUCUGGCGGCGAGCGGCGAACGGGUGAGUAAUGUAUCGGAACGUGCCCAGUAGCGGGGGAUAACUACGCGAAAGCGUAGCUAAUACCGCAUAUGCCCUACGGGGGAAAGCAGGGGAUCGUAAGACCUUGCACUAUUGGAGCGGCCGAUAUCGGAUUAGCUAGUUGGUGAGGUAACGGCUCACCAAGGCAACGAUCCGUAGCUGGUUUGAGAGGACGACCAGCCACACUGGGACUGAGACACGGCCCAGACUCCUACGGGAGGCAGCAGUGGGGAAUUUUGGACAAUGGGGGCAACCCUGAUCCAGCCAUCCCGCGUGUGCGAUGAAGGCCUUCGGGUUGUAAAGCACUUUUGGCAGGAAAGAAACGUCGCGGGCUAAUACCCCGUGGAACUGACGGUACCUGCAGAAUAAGCACCGGCUAACUACGUG